AUUGAACGCUGGCGACAUGCCUUACACAUGCAAGUCGAACGGCAGCACGGGUGCUUGCCCCUGGUGGCGAGUGGCGAACGGGUGAGUAAUACAUCGGAACAUGUCCUGUAGUGGGGGAUAGCCCGGCGAAAGCCGGAUUAAUACCGCAUACGAUCUACGGAUGAAAGCGGGGGACCUUCGGGCCUCGCGCUAUAGGGUUGGCCGAUGGCUGAUUAGCUAGUUGGUGGGGUAAAGGCCUACCAAGGCGACGAUCAGUAGCUGGUCUGAGAGGACGACCAGUCACACUGGGACUGAGACACGGCCCAGACUCCUACGGGAGGCAGCAGUGGGGAAUUUUGGACAAUGGGCGAAAGCCUGAUCCAGCAAUGCCGCGUGUGUGAAGAAGGCCUUCGGGUUGUAAAGCACUUUUGUCCGGAAAGAAAUCCUUGGCCCUAAUACGGUCGGGGGAUGACGGUACCGGAAGAAUAAGCACCGGCUAACUGCGUG
rnacentral:rRNA from 1 species